rnacentral:rRNA from 1 species
UAAUACGUAGGGGGCGAGCGUUGUCCGGAUUCAUUGGGCGUAAAGAGCUCGUAGGCGGCUUGGCAAGUCGGAUGUGAAAACUCCAGGCUCAACCUGGAGCCGCCAUUCGAUACUGCCAUGGCUAGAGUCCGGUAGGGGAGUGUGGAAUUCCCGGUGUAGCGGUGAAAUGCGCAGAUAUCGGGAGGAACACCGAUGGCGAAGGCAGCACUCUGGGCCGGUACUGACGCUGAGGAGCGAAAGCGUGGGGAGCGAACAGGAUUAGAUACCCUGGUAGUCCACGCCGUAAACGUUGGGCACUAGGUGUGGGGCCUUAUCAACGGGUUCCGUGCCGCAGCUAACGCAAUAAGUGCCCCGCCUGGGGAGUACGGCCGCAAGGCUA